AAUGACAAGAAAAAAA
rnacentral:sRNA from 1 species